AUGUACCUGAUCAGCCAGAGUACAAUAGAACACCAGCACACCAUGUCGGCUUCACUACUGUGGCUUUAUGGGAAGUCUUUAAAUCAAUUAUUCACUCUCAGUUGUCUGCAUUUUAAAUAUGUUGUUCCAAUGUCAUCUGUUCUUAAUGGUUUCUGAUGUCACAUCCACCAUCAUUUGAAUCAUUGUUCCACCACAGUUCUGUCUCUCUUGCUACCUUGUGAAGAAGAAUUCAACCGCUUCGCCUUCCACCGUGAUUACGUUUCCUGAAGCAUUCCUAGCCACGUGGAACUGUGAGUCAAUUAAAUCCUUUUCCUUUAUAAAUUACCCAAUUUCAAGUAUUUCUUCAUAGAAGCUUGAGAAGGAACUAUUAGCCUGGUGCAAAGGUAAUUGUAGUUUGUGCCAUUGUUUUUAAAGUAAGGGUCAAACCUGCAAUUACUUCCACACCAACCUAAUAAUACAUAUACUAUCCAGACUUCUUGGUUUUCAAAAGUUUCUCUGUUGUAAACACUCCAAUGAUAGUAUAAUCGCAUUGCUAUUUUUCUUUUAGAAGUUUAUUUGCCAAAAUCCAUAACAUAGAAGAAGAUAGAAAUAAUUGGUGCUUAAUUGGUUUACAGUUAUAUCAGAGGCAAUCAUAGUAUGAGUGAAGACCUCAUAAGGAUAGAAUCAUAUCAGUAAUGUUUAUAUCUUCUGUGAAUUAUUAUGAAGCUUUAGUGUCUCUAUUUCUCUACUGAAAUGUAUGUACAGUACCUAGUGUUUCCUCCUAAGUACUUGGGCUUCUCCGACCUGCAGCAUAUAGGCCACAAGCAGCCCAGCGCAGCUUUGAAUGUGGCCCAACACAAAUUUAUAAAUUUUCUUAAAACAUUAUGAGAUUAAAAAAAAAUUUUCUUAGCUCAUCAGCUAUUGUUAGUGUUAGCACAUUUCAUGUGUGGCCAAAGACAAUUCUUCUUCCAGUGUGACCCAGGGAAGCCAAAAGAUUAGAUACUCCAGACUUCAGUGAUUGAAUAUAAAGGACUAUUAAAAAGGUUCUUCAUUUAGCACUCUAGACAGGAGGACAAUUUAUUGCUAAAAUUUUCAGUUUACCGAUUUUAUUUUAUAGCUGCUUUGUCAAAGUUUACAUAUUUUUAAGAUUUUACAAAGCAAUUGUAUGUUAAAUAAAAUUCAGAAAGCAAAUAGAAUAUUAAUAUCUCACAUUAUAUAAUAUAUAAUUUAUACACAGGUAUAUAUACACACAAAAUAUACAUAUAUACAUAUAAAAUAUAUACAUAUAUGUAUACAUUUUUAUAUAUACAUAUGUAUCCAUAUACAAAUAUAUAUACACAAUAAAAUGUACAUAUACA
rnacentral:lncRNA from 1 species